CGGUGAAUACGUUCCCGGGUCUUGUACACACCGCCCGUCAAGCCAUGGAAGCUGGGUGUACCUAAAGUCGAUAACCGUAAGGAGUCGCCUAGGGUAAAACUAGUAACUGGGGCU
rnacentral:rRNA from 1 species